rnacentral:lncRNA from 1 species
UAAAACGACGGCCUAGGGCAAAAUAGGAUUUCAUUUGAAGAUUAGAAUUUAGGAUUUGAAAGCUUGGUUGAAGUUCUUUCUAAAGACAUAAGAAUUGUUUUUAGUAGAUUUUGGAAGACUUAGCAAUUGUUGUUCAAAGUCAAGGUUUGUAUCAGUGAUUUGGGUUUUACAUAAUAUAAUUAGGACUAGUAAUUUUAGCUAGUUCGUAUAAUUGGAGUAACAUCUAUAGUUAAAAACUUAAUAUUAUUUGGAUUAUUGGGUAUGCUAAGUGUAUAAAAUUUUUUGUAAUGAUCUAACAUCGUGGUUUAGAGAUAUCUAGUUUUUAGCACAAGAGGAUUUCAAAAGGUGGCAGUUUGAGGUUGGAUAGGGUUUCUAUGAUAUCUAAAGAUCUAUCAAUUGGAUUAAGGUGAAAAUUGGCAUGGUCUUGGAAGACUUGAAGAUCAAGCUACACACUAAUUUUGAGACA